UACGUAGGUGGCGAGCGUUGUCCGGAUUUACUGGGCGUAAAGGGAGCGUAGGCGGACUUUUAAGUGAGAUGUGAAAUACCCGGGCUCAACUUGGGUGCUGCAUUUCAGACUGGAAGUCUAGAGUGCAGGAGAGGAGAAUGGAAUUCCUAGUGUAGCGGUGAAAUGCGUAGAGAUUAGGAAGAACACCAGUGGCGAAGGCGAUUCUCUGGACUGUAACUGACGCUGAGGCUCGAAAGCGUGGGGAGCAAACAGGAUUAGAUACCCG
rnacentral:rRNA from 1 species